AUUCUGCUUCAAAAAAUUUGGGGGAAAAACACCCACUCCCUCCCCGUGUAACUGAACCCUAGCCUCCCACUAAUCAACUUCUCUCUCAUUCAAUUCAUAUUCUCGAAAAAUCACAGAUCUAUCAACUGAUUUCAACCAGAGAUCGAGGACUCUUUGGUUUCUAUUCGGGUUUUCCUACGUUUCAAGAUUGAAGAUUUGGAAGAUAGCUCGGGAAAUCGUUAACCGUGUUUGGUUGUAGGUAAUGAAAUUUAUUAUUAAAUAUUCGAGUUUGAUUCAGAUUUGUGUAUUUAUAGUUUAUCUGGUCAAUGGCUCCUGAUGAUAUCAAGGAGAAGGCCAACAAAGAAGGCAAGACUUCAGUCAUUGAUGUCACUCAGUUCGUUUUUUUAAGGUUUUUGGGUUUUAUCUGAGGAUUUCACUACAACAAAACACGCUAAUUCUCGACGACAUGAGCUCGACGCGAUACGUACAACGUUGGGGAAAAUUUUGAGGGAUUGCCUCUGUUCCAGGCCUGCCAGCUAUGGAGAUGACCAAGCGGCUCAACAUCAUGAACUUGCUCUUCCCACAAGGGAUUGAAUGAAUACACCAAAAAUCAAGGAAAAUUCGACAGCCAGUGUACCAAGGCCUAACCCUCAAGGUCUUAUCAUGCGUACCAUCAGGACAACAAAUUCUGAUCCAAUGAUAACCCUCAAGAUUCUUAUGAGGCAUUGAGAGAGCAUUGACUAAUGCGAUUAAUUUUAUGAUACUAGAUCUUGGAUGUAAUUGAGUUUGAUAAGUUGUUGAGAAAUUUUUUGCAGCAUCACUCUAGCUUGUGUCUUUUGUAAAUUGUGUUCAGAGGCUGCAAGAUGGGAUUGUGUGCUUCAAGAGUAAGUUUAUGCGAAUCCCUUUUAACACUAUUUUGAACAACUCUCAAUGGAUGGAUUUUGUUAUCAUUAUGUUUAAUGCCUUAUCUAACCAUCUUUGAACUAAACCCCUCUCCUCAAUUUAUCUGAAUCCCUUUAUUAAUACUGUUUUGAACAACUCUCAAUGUACGCUUUCAUGUUUAUAUUCAACUCUAGUUUGUAACUGAAGUAGUAUGCUAAUGUUAUGUUGUCUUUGUUACUAAGGUGCUCAGAUCAUCAGGACCUGAUCUGUUCUGGUGAGUUGUGUUCAUUAUGUUCUGAAAUUAUAGUUUAUAUAGUGUGUGCGUCUUUCUCAUGUACUUGGUUGAGCUAGCUAGUUUAAUGACCAAGUGAUCUUUGAACAACAUCUCCUAGUUCUAUAGGUCUAUUCCUCGUAUUCUACUUAUUUGAUUAAUUUUUCUUAAUUUAUUUGUUAAAGUCGGUUUGAAUAUGAGUGCAUAAACUAUCAGAGUGGUGGGAAAGAAUUUCGAAACUCCUAAAAUCAAUCUCACAUAUCCGGUUCUAACAGCUUUGCAAACCAUCAAGCUUAUUAUGUAUGAAUCAUGAACUUAGCCCUAUAAAUUACACUACGAUAUGUAUUAUAAAAUUGGAUGAAAGAGUAUAAAUGGACUCACAAUGCUUUCUUUUACUCAUAGAUUUUGUGUUUGUUAAAUAUAUGCAUCUUAUCUUGUCAGAUUUUCUAUAGUACUUUUUACAUUGCUACCCAUGUAUAGGAAGACAAGCAUAGAGAAAAAAUGAAUUUAUUAGCCCAUUGGAUAAAAUCUCAUACGGGUAAGGACGAAACCUUUCUGUUGUGGUAUGAGUCCAAACUUAGUCGCCUUAUUAAGCUAUUUUUUGGUGAAAAAGAUAGGUGUGAUUGAUACCACUCUUAGCUUGAGGGGGGUGUAGAUCUAGUCCAUAACUCUGUCAAUAAAAGCAGGACCUCGUAAUAAGUUUAAUCUGUAAGCUAGCCUGGAAAUGAAGUCUUCUGAUAACUUUUUGGUGUUCUCUUCUUUAUUGUAUAAGCAAAUAGUACUAUAGAAUGGUUCUGCAAAUUCAUGAAGUUCUAAAGUUAAAACGAUGGGAUAAUAAUAUGCUAUGCAAUACAAGAUGUAUGCUAAAUUAUAACUUUUAAUAUGCUAUGCAAUACAAGAUGUAUGCUAAAUUAUAACUUUUUAUUUCAUUGAAAAAAAAAAGUGGUAUUCUACCGCAAUGGUUACCAAACUCCACAAAACCUGAACAACCACUUUUAUUUAUCAUAUACAUGUCUGGUUGUUGAUUCUUGUUUUUGUUAUGGAUGCAUUGUAUUGGAGUUGUUAUUGUAGCUUAAAACUAAGUGCUGGCACCAAAUACGAGUUCUGCUCUUCCACUUUUAUUCCUUGUCAAAAUUUACAGGUUCUGCUCUACCUGAUCUGCUUGUGCUAUUUUCGAAAUAGUUUAUAAGCAUUGGAAUAAAAUAGAUGAUAUCAUGCUGCCAUUUUUAUUAAUUGUUACUAUUCCUUUUAGGUUGUUACUGUAAUCUACGGAAAUUGACAAGAGAGAAACGAAUGACUGCCAUAAAGCUAAGGUUGCUAGAAAGGACAUCGAGUUGGGAUCCUAUAUUUAUUCGACGCCCUGUUGCUGCUCCAUCAUUGAUCAUGUAUUUUUUUAGAUAAUGUUUUUGCUGAGUAUUAGGUUUUUAUAUGUGAGGGAUUUUUUGAUGUAUGUAUACCUUUGUAAUUGAUAUUUGUAUAUUCUUAUUUUUGGAAAUAAAACAUGUUGCUGCUAGCUUGUUAUGACA